GAAAUGCGAUAAGUAAUGUGAAUUGCAGAAUUCAGUGAAUCAUCGAAUCUUUGAACGCACAUUGCGCCCGUCAGCAUUCUGGCGGGCAUGCCUGUUCGAGCGUCAUUUCAACCCUCAGGACCCCCCUUUCGCGGGGAGGGACCUGGCGUUGGGGAUCGGCCCGCCCCCCGCGGCGGCGCCGUCCCCGAAAUCUAGUGGCGGUCUCGCUGCAGCCUCCCCUGCGUAGUAGUUACAACCUCGCAUCGGAGCGCGGCGCGACCACGCCGUAAAACCCCCGACUUUCUGAACGUUGACCUCGGAUCAGGUAGGAAUACCCGCUGAACUUAAGC
rnacentral:misc_RNA from 1 species